CCUACGGGAGGCAGCAGUGAGGAAUAUUGGUCAAUGGACGAGAGUCUGAACCAGCCAAGUAGCGUGAAGGAUGACUGCCCUAUGGGUUGUAAACUUCUUUUAUAAAGGAAUAAAACGAGGCACGUGUGCCUUUUUGCAUGUACUUUAUGAAUAAGGAUCGGCUAACUCCGUGCCAGCCGCCGCGGUAAUACGGAGGAUCCGAGCGUUAUCCGGAUUUAUUGGGUUUAAAGGGAGCGUAGAUGGGUUGUUAAGUCAGUUGUGAAAGUUUGCGGCUCAACCGUAAAAUUGCAAUUGAUACUGGCAGUCUUGAGUACAGGUGAGGUAGGCGGAAUUCGUGGUGUAGCGGUGAAAUGCUUAGAUAUCACGAAGAACCCCGAUUGCGAAGGCAGCUUACUAAACUGUGACUGACACUGAGGCUCGAAAGUGUGGGUAUCAAACAGGAUUAGAUACCCUGGUAGUC
rnacentral:rRNA from 1 species